CAACAAAACAGUGAUGUGGUUGCAGCCGGGACUCUAAGAGCAGACGCACGUCGUUCAUGUAGCAACUUUGGACCACACGGGAAAGUGUAAAUCCAACGAAAAGUGGCUGUCCAACCAAGAUUUAUCUUCACGGCUGAAAGCGGUACCAGACAAAAGAACUACAGACUCUUCACAACCUGCUCAAACUCUUGGUACAGGACCUCACCACACGGGUCAAGAAGGUUUCUGUCUCAUUUCUACUCUGAAGCUCACCUUCUCCUGCUCAAACUGUUGACAAAUGUUUCUGCUGCUCUACAGUCUGGUCUCCAGAACUUUCUAAAAACUCUCAAAGUCUCUUCUGCUGCAGGUUGCUUUGUAGAACUGUUCCAGAAAACCUCACUAAACCACAUGGAGGGGCCUCAAGAUAGUCGUCCAAAUGAAACCGUACAAAAACCAAACUAGCACAAGCCAAACGCUAAAGUCUCCUGCAGCCUACCAGAGAACCUCUGAGAACAGAGAAUCAGGACAGGAACUCUUACCUUCUGGACAACCAACGUUGGUUCAUAAACAAGAAUACAGAAUGUGUCUGACCAAAAACCUCUGAAGACUCACUACAGCCAAGAUAAAGACACAACUCAGCUGCACCAAAUCCACUAAUCACUGCACACAUUAGCACCAUGUGCUAACUGUGGCUAAAGAACCACAUUUACCAAGACAACUAUCCAGUACAAAGCCCUAAAACACACCAAGAAACACAUUAAAGACGAUUUUACUGCUGGAAGCUGCAAGCCAACGCCUAAAGAACAAACUGAAGCAAUGGAGCCAAACACAGCUCAGUGGUGAAGAGAAGCAGAGGAAAUGUUUGGCUGCAGCUAAAUAAAGCAGGAAGAGACUGAGCUGCUCAGGUGUUCCUGAUAACGCCUAGCAGCCACCUGGACAGCCAAUAGGAACACAGCUUACUGGAAGUCCAGAGGGCUGGGUUAGUGAAGUAAAUUUAGUUUAAAAUUGAGGCAGAAAGUUAAUAAAGAAAGUUGAAAACCACCUUCUGCUACCUGAAAUCUCUGAGUUUUCACACAAAGAACACCUGAACAUGUCAAACUGGUUCCAUAGUAGAACCCUCAUUGUAAAAACGUCAUAGUAUGGUGUGUUGCUCAAAAAACAUUACCACCCGG
ensembl:lncRNA